GGUGAUUUAGGUUCAAUAGUGAAAAUUAUGAACCCCGCCAGGUCCGGAAGGAAGCAACGGUAGAUAUUUUUUGCUAUGUGAAUUUAAGUCACCACU
rnacentral:SRP_RNA from 1 species